UGGCUCAGUUGGCAGAGCAUAGCACUUGCAAUGCCAAAGGGUGUGGGUUUGAUUCCUGC
rnacentral:tRNA from 1 species